rnacentral:rRNA from 1 species
AUUGAACGCUGGCGGCAGGCUUAACACAUGCAAGUCGAGCGGAGAGAGGUAGCUUGCUACUGAUCUUAGCGGCGGACGGGUGAGUAAUGCUUAGGAAUCUGCCUAUUAGUGGGGGACAACAUUUCGAAAGGAAUGCUAAUACCGUAUACGUCCUACGGGAGAAAGCAGGGGAUCUUCGGACCUUGCGCUAAUAGAUGAGCCUAAGUCGGAGUAGCUAGUUGGUGGGGUAAAGGCCUACCAAGGCGACGAUCUGUAGCGGGUCUGAGAGGAUGUUCCGCCACACUGGGAAUUAGACACGGCCCAGACUCCUACGGGAGGCAGCAGUGGGGAAUAUUGGACAAUGGGCGGAAGCCUGAUCCAGCAAUGCCGCGUGUGUGAAGAAGGCCUUAUGGUUGUAAAGCACUUUAAGCGAGGAGGAGGCUACUUUAGUUAAUACCUAGAGAUAGUGGACGUUACUCGCAGAAUAAGCACCGGCUAACUCUGUGCCAGCCGCCGCUGUAAAAC